rnacentral:lncRNA from 1 species
CACACACUCUGUCUCUCUGUCUCUCUCUCAUUCUCUCUCUGUCUCUCUGUCUCUGCCUCUCUCUCUCUCUGCCUGUAAAUAACUUAUUCUGUAAUAGAAUUGUGGCUGAGAUAGGGGAGGCUGGAAAGUCCCAGCCUGGGGUUACGCAAGGAACUUUAUUAUUUCCAGUAAUGUUAGGAGUUGGCUAAAUGGUCUGUGAAAGAGACUUGUCCCUUUUCCUCCUGCCUUCCAUCACAUGUUCAUUCAUUUAUUCCCGCAUUAAUUUAUUGUGUAAACAUUCACUGAUAGUUUCUGUAGGUACACAUAUGAAUAAGAAAGGGUCCCUACUGUCCAGAAGCUCUACUCUUAUCAUUUCCAGUAAUGUUAGGAGUUGGCUAAUUGGUCUGCAAAAGAGCCUUAUUCCUUUUCCUCCUGGCUUCCAUCACAUGUUCAUUCAUUUAUUCCCGCAUUAAUUUAUUGUGUAAACAUUCAUUGAUAGGUUCCGUAGGUACACACAUGAAUAAAGAGUCCCUACUGUCCAGAAGCUCUACUCCAGUGAAAAGGAGCAGCCUUUGGGAGAGAUGCAGGAAAUGAGGCUGAAGGGUGUUUGAGAAAGGGCAGAAUGGCCUCAUAUGCCACUCUGAGGAAUUUGUGCUUGAUUCUACUGGUCAGAUCUGCCAUAUAAGGAUUUCUAGAAGUGAGGCCCUGAAACCUGCAUUUACCAUGAUCCCCAGGGAAUUCCCGUGCACCUUCAAGACUGAGAGGCCCGGAUCUGUAACACCUGCUGAAGAAUGACACCCAUUUACGAGAUAAAGAAAACACUGUUCUUUGCUGCUCCCCUGGUUACCCUCAAAAGCCAGAAAGAAGGGAGGAUGAAGAGAAAGUCAGCCUCUGCAGACAUAGCUGUCAUUUGUAACUGCUGCUGUUUCCCAGUCAGCUUAAAUGGAAAAUGGACUGCUCUUACACCAACGUCACUUAAGUCCAUCACGGCAGUACUCCAGGUCCUCCUUUCCCAUGUAUUGCCUGAGUGGGGCACAUUGCCCCCUGACAGACACAGGAUGCUGCCCCCAGGCCAACACUUAGAGCUAGAACAGCGACGCUCAUCACAGAGCUAGAAUUGCAAGCUCAGUCAGGUACAGGGAGUGUUGUGCCUGAUUGCAAAAAACUGACUCAGCCUUUCAGUAAAAGUGCCUUAGGGAAUGGAACUAGAUUGUCCUGUGACAAACCAAUGAACACAUCUGCUUGUCUCAAAAUAUGUGAAGCAGAACCAAGCUUCCAGUGCUGAACACAGGACUGCUCUAGUCACCAGGCAGCAUCCUUUCCCAAAGAAGGUUUCAUAGAACACUAGCCUAGUAGAUGAUCUUGGCAAAAAGGAACCCAUAACUAAGUAAGUUCUGGAAACGCUGUAUUUUGUUUCUCCCCUCUUGGAAACUGAAGAUGCACAUUAACAUAUUAAGUGCUCUGAAAAGUCACGCACUGAAGAAAAAACCAGUAUGACUCUUGUUUAGCUCAGUAUUUCCUGAAUAUGUUCUUUGAUGAGACUCCUUUUUCAUUGAGUGCCUAUUAAUAUUUUCUAGAAUAAGGUUUUAAAGAAAAAAACUGAGGAAACGUUAUAGAGGAGAAUUUAUAUUCAAAGGGGAAGUCAUUUAGUUCCAUAAAUGGAACGUUAAUUGGAGAAAGAUUGGCAGUUGUGAAGCACAUCUAAAAGUAUUGGCAGAGCCUCUGAAGGACUUGGGAAAUGGACUUCCAUUCCCUGCCAGGAAACUUCCUUAGGAAUAAAGGGACUCCUUUGGUCCUGAUCAGAAAGGGAGCAGUAUUCCUUGUCUGCAUUAGAGUGGAAUAUUGGGAUGAUUAGCUACCAGAAGAGUCCUCUUUGAUCUUUCCCACUCCUUCAACCCCGUAUCCAUUCCACCGGAAAUCCUACCCUACGUCCUCAAUCUCAAUCUCCCACUUCCAGUGCUGCAACCUCAGCUCACUGCAGCCUUGACUUUCUGGGCUCAAGCGAUCCUCCCACCCCAGCCUCCCAACCAUCUGGGACCACAGGGAGGUGCAAUCACGCCUGGCUAAUUUUUGUAUUUGUAGUAGACACAGGGUUUCUCCAUGUUGCCCAGGCUGGUCUCUAACUCCUGGGCUCAAGCAACCCACCUGCCUUCGCCUCCCAAAGUGCUGGGAUUAUAGGCAUGAGCCACUGUACCCAGCCUCAAUCUCCCACUUCUUACACAUCCACUGCUGCAAUAGUCUACUCACUGGUUUCCCUACUUUCACUUUUAUUCUCCUGCUAUGGUCUGAAUAUUUGUGUCCCACAAAAAUUCAUAUGUUGAAAUUCUAACCCUUAAGGUGAUAGUAUUAGGAUAGUAUUGGGGCCUUUGGGAGGUGAUGAGGUAGUGAGAGUGGCACCCUCAUGAUUGGGAUUAGUGCCCUUAUAAAAGAGGCCCCAAAGAGAGCCCUGAGGUUGCAGCGAGAAGGCCACAUCUAUGAACCAUAAAGCCAGCCCUCACCAGACACCGAAUUUGCCAGUGCCUUGAUCUUGGACUUCACAGCCUCCAGAACUGUAAGAAAUAAAUGUUGUCUAUAAGCCAGCCAGUCUGUGGUAUUUUGUUAUAACUGCCUAAACAGACUGACACAACAUCUAGUGUAUUGUCCAUACUGCAGCAAGGUGAUCUUAGCACUUAGAAUCUGAUAAAAAUCACACUGCUUAAAAACUUCCAAAACCUGUCCCUUGCCAUGGAGAAAACACAAAGAUAACAUAGGCCUGGCCUGGCAUUUCCCUUCAAACUCAUCUUCACUAAUCUUCCACUCAUCUGCAUGUUCCAGCCACACUCCUCUUCUCCUGGAUUCUCUUUACCUGGAAUUCUCCUUCCCAUCUCGAUUUUGCCUAUUUGCCCUUCAAUAUAGAUCACGGUGAUCUAUGAUGGUCAUAGUGAUCACAGAUUCAUCACAGAACACUAUGCAAAAAUCAUUUCCUCCAGGAAGACUUUCUUGAUUCAACAGUCUAGGUUGGAGCAGCUCAAAGUGCAAUCCAUACUUCGGUGCCAAUCUACAAAUUGUUUCCAAUGUGAUAAAUAUUAAAAUUAAGAAAUAAGCAUUUAGAAAGUUCUACAGUGUUUUAAAAUUACCAUGACAUCCAAGCACAUGGUCAGUAGACUCCCCUUGUUGAACAGGGCAAAGAGCAAUUCAGGUGUUGUCAAAAUCACGUGGUCAGUCACAUGUAGCACAAUUUGUAUGCUAGUAUCAGUCCAGGGCAGAUUGAAGGGAAAAGUGGUCUUUCAGCACACAUAGUUAGAGAUGCACUGGUCUAGGUCACUUUGUCAUGUUAUAUAGUCACAGCACCAUGUACCUUCUUUCCAAAGCAUCUAUCACAGUUGGUAAUUUUAUGUAUUUUUUGCGAACUUUUUUCUUAUUGUCUUUCUCCUACACAAGACUCCUAGCUUCCUGACAGCAAGAACCAACCAGGCUUGUUGCUGCUCAAUGUCAAAUCUUUCUAGUCCAGCUGAAUACCUGGGACACAGUUGGUGCUUAAACAAUGUGACUAAUAAAUAAGUGGAAAACGUAU